CUUAAGCAUAUCAAUAAGCGGAGGAAAAGAAACUAACAAGGAUUCCCCUAGUAACUGCGAGUGAAGCGGGAAAAGCUCAAAUUUAAAAUCUGGCGGUCUUUGGCUGUCCGAGUUGUAGUCUGGAGAAGCGUUUUCCGCGCUGGACCGUGUACAAGUCCCUUGGAAUAGGGCGUCAUAGAGGGUGAGAAUCCCGUCUUUGACACGGACUACCAGUGCUUUGUGAUGCGCUCUCAAAGAGUCGAGUUGUUUGGGAAUGCAGCUCAAAAUGGGUGGUAAAUUCCAUCUAAAGCUAAAUAUUGGCGAGAGACCGAUAGCGAACAAGUACCGUGAGGGAAAGAUGAAAAGCACUUUGGAAAGAGAGUUAAACAGUACGUGAAAUUGCUGAAAGGGAAACGAUUGAAGUCAGUCGCGUUGUACAGAACUCAGCCUGGCUUUUGCUUGGUGUAUUUUCUGUAUGACGGGCCAGCAUCAAUUUUGGCCGCUGGAAAAAGGCUUCAGAAAUGUGGCACCUUCGGGUGUGUUAUAGUCUGAGGUCAUAUACAGCGGCUGGGAUUGAGGUCUGCAGCACGCCUUUAUGGCUGGGGUUCGCCCACAUUCGUGCUUAGGAUGCUGGCGUAAUGGCUUUAAACGACCCGUCUUGAAACACGGACCAAGGAGUCUAACAUGCCUGCGAGUGUUUGGGUGGAAAACCCGAGCGCGCAAUGAAAGUGAAAGUUGAGAUCCCUGUCGUGGGGAGCAUCGACGCCCGGACCAGACCUUUUGUGACGGAUCUGCGGUAGAGCAUGUAUGUUGGGACCCGAAAGAUGGUGAACUAUGCCUGAAUAGGGUGAAGCCAGAGGAAACUCUGGUGGAGGCUCGUAGCGAUUCUGACGUGCAAAUCGAUCGUCAAAUUUGGGUAUAGGGGCGAAAGACUAAUC
rnacentral:rRNA from 1 species